GCAAGUCGAGCGCGCCCUUCGGGGUGAGCGGCGGACGGGUGAGUAACGCGUGGGAACGUGCCCUUUGCUGCGGAAUAGCCACUGGAAACGGCGAGUAAUACCGCAUGAGCCCUUCGGGGGAAAGAUUUAUCGGCAAGGGAUCGGCCCGCGUUGGAUUAGGUAGUUGGUGGGGUAAUGGCCUACCAAGCCGACGAUCCAUAGCUGGUUUCAGAGGAUGAUCAGCCACACUGGGACUGAGACACGGCCCAGACUCCUACGGGAGGCAGCAGUGGGGAAUCUUAGACAAUGGGCGCAAGCCUGAUCUAGCCAUGCCGCGUGAGUGACGAAGGCCCUAGGGUCGUAAAGCUCCUUCGCCUGUGAAGAUAAUGACGGUAGCAGGUAAAGAAACCCCGGCUAACUCUGUGCCAGCAGCCACGGUAAUACGGAGGGGGUUAGCGUUGUUCGGAAUUACUGGGCGUAAGGCGCGCGUAGGCGGACCAUCAAGUUGGGGGUGAAAUCCCGGGGCUCAACCCCGGAACUGCCUCCAAAACUGGCGGUCUGGAGUUCGAGAGAGGUGAGUGGAAUUCCGAGUGUAGAGGUGAAAUUCGUAGAUAUUCGGAGGAACACCAGUGGCGAAGGCGGCUCACUGGCUCGAUACUGACGCUGAGGUGCGAAAGUGUGGGGAGCAAACAGGAUUAGAUACCCUGGUAGUCCACACCGUAAACGAUGAAUGCCAGUCGUCGGCAAGCAUGCUUGUCGGUGACACACCUAACGGAUUAAGCAUUCCGCCUGGGGAGUACGGCCGCAAGGUUACAACUCAAAUGAAUUGACGGAA
rnacentral:rRNA from 1 species